ACAAUGGCUUCCCUGGCAACAGCCAAAGUCUCAAAUGCCUAUGUUGUGGCAAGCGGGGACCUGCUCACGUGGCAUCCAAUAUUCCGGAUAUGCAGCCAGAGCAAAAUGUUCUUGGGUCCUGUUGUCACUCUCAAGGUAUUCGAGGACAACGUCCUGGUUCGGGAGCUACUCGAAACUAGAGGUGAAGGAAGAGUGUCGGUCAUUGAUGGUGGAGGAAGCUUGAGAUGCGCUCUGGUGGGUGGGAACAUGGGACAGUAGGCUCAGAACAUGGAAGCGAUCCAGAUAUCGCCGCCUCCGCCUCCGCCGCCUCUGACCAAGAGUUCCUCCUCCAAUCUCACUCCCCAAUUCAGUUGCCACCUUGAGCAACGCGAAUGAGAACUUCAACAUGACCGAUCUCACUGCUCAUAACUUACUGAUUUGCAAGAUUUGGUUUCACCGAACUUACCUUAUUGUUUCAAGUUUAUGAUGUGAUUGCUUUCUCAUUUUGGUGUAGCUCUCAACGACGAGGAUCGAGCUGGCCUCGUCAAUGCUCUCAAGGUGCAGACUUGGUUUGGGGUUUUGCGGGAUAAGCUCCAGACUUUGGCCAAACAGUAUUCGGAUGUGCUCGAGAGUCUCACGCCCAAUGAGUGUGCGAUCGGUAUUAGUGCCUUGGCUUCACAUCCCCUGAAAUCGAGCAAGAAAAAGGUCGAGGAAAAAGCACAUCCCUAUCUACAUUGCGGGCACACUGAUCUGCGACGGCGAACAGAUCUGGUGUUGAAGCCAACGUGUGGUGGCUGCGGGGCAGCGGCAGAUCUCUACGGCAGCAACUGCAAGCACAUGACGCUCUGCUCCACCUGCGGCAAGGCGAUGGCGGAGUCCGGAGCCAAGUGCUACGAGUGCGGCGCCACGCUCACUCACUUGAUUAGGGAAUAUAAUGUCCGGGCGGGUCUCAGCAAUGACAGGAACUAGUUCAUUGGUAGAUUUGUCAGUGGUUUGCCGAAUUUCUCGAAGAAGAAGAGCACGGAGAAUAGGUGGUCUGCGCAGAAGGAAGGGCUGCAGGGGCGUCAAGUUACGGAUGCCUUAGGGGUACGGAUGGAUUCUCCUCGUCUAUGGACUUCCCCUUUAGCUAUUUUUGGAAGUUCGUAGGUUGUUUCUUUAAUGGUCAACAACUGUUUGUACCUCACAUUGUCUCCAAAACUGAACUGUCUGUAUGAAAAUUUAAGAGGGCUUUUUCCAGAUAUGUUUUCUUCUGUCA